rnacentral:tRNA from 1 species
UGGGCUUUAGCCGAGAAGGCAGCGGUUUUCUUUUGGUGAAAGCCGGCAGCUGGUGCAAUUCCAGUCAGCCCAACCA